rnacentral:piRNA from 1 species
UGGGAUUAGUAUGGUUGAGGACCAG